GACGAACGCUGGCGGCGUGCUUAACACAUGCAAGUCGUACGGUAAGGCCCUUUCGGGGGUACACGAGUGGCGAACGGGCGAGUAACACGUGAGUAACCUGCCCACAACUUUGGGAUAACGCUAGGAAACUGGUGCUAAUACUGGAUAUGUGCUCCUGCUGCAUGGUGGGGGUUGGAAAGCUCCGGCGGUUGUGGAUGGACUCGCGGCCUAUCAGCUUGUUGGUGGGGUAGUGGCCUACCAAGGCGGCGACGGGUAGCCGGCCUGAGAGGGUGACCGGCCACCUUGGGACUGGGAUACGGCCCAGACUCCUACGGGAGGCAGCAGGGGGGAAUAUUUCACAAUGGGCGCGAGCCUGAUGCAGCAACGCCGCGUGCGGGAUGACGGCCUUCGGGUUGGAAACCGCUUUCAGCAGGGACGAAGCUUUUUGUGACGGUACCUGCAGAAGAAGCACCGGCUAACUACGUG
rnacentral:rRNA from 1 species